rfam:Rattus norvegicus chromosome 14, whole genome shotgun sequence.
GGAGUUUGGCUGUGACAUCUGUCACCCCAUUGAUCUCCAGGGUUGAUUCAGCUGAUCUGGCUUACUAGGCGGGUGUCCCCUUCCUCCCUCACUGCUCCAUGUGUGUCCCUCCCGAAGCUGCAUGCUCGGUCGAAGAGGAUGACCUUCCCUGAGUAGAGGAGGACCGGUCUUCGGUCAAGGGUAUAUGAGUAGCUGCGCUCCCCUGCUAGAACCUCCAAACAAGCUCUCAAGGUCCUAGUUCUAAUAUUUUUAAGCUUAUUAUAAAUCUAAAGGUUUUUGUGUCUUUU